rnacentral:rRNA from 1 species
UUUAGAUGGCGACCGGCGCACGGGUGAGUAACAACGUAUCCAACCUNCCGAUGACUCGGGGAUAGCCUUUCGAAAGAAAGAUUAAUACCCGAUGGCAUAGUUCUUCCGCAUGGUAGAACUAUUAAAGAAUUUCGGUCAUCGAUGGGGAUGCGUUCCAUUAGGUUGUUGGCGGGGUAACGGCCCACCAAGCCUUCGAUGGAUAGGGGUUCUGAGAGGAAGGUCCCCCCACAUUGGAACUGAGACACGGUCCAAACUCCUACGGGAGGCAGCAUG